ACAAAAUAUACACCAGUGGUAAUUAGUUCCCAAAGUGAGCAGAGUUUUAACAAUGCUUAAGAGAACAGACAUCAGGACAGAAAAUACUAGUAGACAACAACCAGUGUAUGGGAACAGUCGAGUCACAGCCUGAAGUACUGAUUGAGCACCUGGGGAAAGGACCCGGUCAGCCCUGGGAGCACAGGUGAAGGCAAUUCAGGUGUGCCACCAGUAGAACCUAGCUGCAACUUUCUAUGACCUUAUUUAAGGGCUGACUGCCCCUAGGGAAUGAUCUUUUUCUGGAGAUCUCUUCUUUUCCCUGCAAACCUAAAAUCUUCUGAUAUGGAUGUCCUGCCUGCAUGAGGAGGAUGCUGUGAAGAGGCAUAAUCACCAGAAAGUUCAAAGAACAUGUAUAGAAACCUAUAAAAUAUGCCAUUCUACAGUAUGCUUACUGAAGAAAGGCUUUUUCUUUAUAAUUUGGCUCAAGUGACAGCUGAAAACAAAGGAAUGGGAGAAUGGGGAAGGCUCAGUGGUGAC